GCUGCGUGACGGACAGGCAGCAGGACGCUGGCGCCGCGGCUUCUUCCGGCGGGUCAGAGGACGCUAGGGCAGCUGUGCGAACGCCUGUGCUCCGUCAGAGGUCCGCGCCCUCCCGUCGACAGCGUCCUUCCAAAGGUCCGCCUGGGAUGUCCCUGACCCGGGCUAGAGGAGUAUACACAGAUAUGAUACCUUCCACUGAGCUUCGGGCAGUUUUGCAAAAUUUGUCAGUGAGCCCCUUCCGGUUCCUGCUCCUACUUAAAGUACAUGGGAUUGAACCUAGGGGCACUCUACGACUGAGCUACAUCCCCAGCCCUUUUUGUUCUGUAAGAUGAAGAUGUGGUCUCACUAAAUUGCCCAGGAUACCUUCAUACUUCAGAUCCUCCUUCAGAUCCUCCUGCCUCAGGCUCCCAAAUCACUGGGAUUAUAGGAGUGUACCCCUCCAUCCAAAGAAUGACCAAAUCUUUGUGUGUGUGUGUGUGUGUGUGUGUGUGUGUUGCUGGGGAUUGAACCCAUGGCCUUGUGCAUACAAGGCAAGCACUCUACCAACUGUGCUAUAUCCCUAGCCCCCAAAUCUAGAUGAAAUAAAUCUUCUAUCAAUGUCUUUA